rnacentral:rRNA from 1 species
AGUGAACGCUGGCGGUAGGCCUAACACAUGCAAGUCGAACGGCAGCACAGGAGAGCUUGCUCUCUGGGUGGCGAGUGGCGGACGGGUGAGGAAUACAUCGGAAUCUACUCUGUCGUGGGGGAUAACGUAGGGAAACUUACGCUAAUACCGCAUACGACCUACGUGUGAAAGCAGGGGACCUUCGGCCCUUGCGCGAUUGAAUGAGCCGAUGUCGGAUUAGCUAGUUGGCGGGGUAAAGGCCCACCAAGGCGACGAUCCGUAGCUGGUCUGAGAGGAUGAUCAGCCACACUGGAACUGAGACACGGUCCAGAGUCCUACGGGAGGCAGCAGUGGGGAAUAUUGGACAAUGGGCGCAAGCCUGAUCCAGCCAUACCGCGUGGGUGAAGAAGGCCUUCGGGUUGUAAAGCCCUUUUGUUGGGAAAGAAAUCCAGCUGGCUAAUACCCGGUUGGGAUGACGGUACCCAAAGAAUAAGCACCGGCUAACUUCGUGCCAGCCGCCGCAGUAA